rnacentral:rRNA from 1 species
UACGAAGGUGGCGAGCGUUGUUCGGAAUCACUGGGCAUAAAGGGCGCGUAGGCGGCGACUUAAGUCGGCGGUGAAAUACCUCGGCUCACCCGAGGACCCGCCGCCGAAACUGGGUUGCUAGAGCAUGGGAGGGGAAGGUGGAAUUCCGGGUGGAGCGGUGAAAUGCGUAGAUAUCCGGAGGAACACCCGUGGCGAAAGCGGCCUUCUGGUCCAUUGCUGACGCUGAGGCGCGAAAGCUAGGGGAGCAAACAGG